GAUCCUGCCAGUAGUCAUAUGCUUGUCUCAAAGAUUAAGCCAUGCAUGUCUAAGUACAAGCCUACCCAGGGCGAAACCGCGAAUGGCUCAUUAAAUCAGUCAUGAUUUAUUGGAUGUCGUAAAAUCAGUUACAUGGAUAACUGUGGUAAUUCUAGAGCUAAUACAUGCAAUUGAGCUCCGACCUCGUCGCCGUCAAACGUGGCGAGGGAAGGGCGCUUUUAUUAGAUCAAAAACCGAGUGGACUUCGGUCCUUCUCCCAUAAAGAGCCGUGAUGACUCUGAAUAACUUAGCCGAGCGCUGCGGUCCUCGUACCGGCGCCGUAUCUUUCAAGUGUCUGCCUUAUCAGCUUUCGAUUGUAGGUUAUACGCCUACAAUGGCUGUAACGGGUAACGGGGAAUCAGGGUUCGAUUCCGGAGAGGGAGCCUGAGAAACGGCUACCACAUCUAAGGAAGGCAGCAGGCACGCAAAUUACCCACUCCCGGCACGGGGAGGUAGUGACGAAAAAUAACGAUGCGGGACUCUUCCGAGGCCUCGCAAUCGGAAUGAGUCUACCCUAAAUCCUUGGACGAGGAUCCAUUGGAGGGCAAGUCUGGUGCCAGCAGCCGCG
rnacentral:rRNA from 1 species